UACGUAGGGCGCAAGCGUUGUCCGGAAUUAUUGGGCGUAAAGAGCUCGUAGGUGGCGUGUCGCGUCUGCCGUGAAAGCCCAUGGCUUAACUGUGGGUCUGCGGUGGAUACGGGCAGGCUGGAGGCUGGUAGGGGCAAGCGGAAUUCCUGGUGUAGCGGUGAAAUGCGCAGAUAUCAGGAGGAACACCGGUGGCGAAGGCGGGUCUCUGGGCCGAUACUGACGCUGAGGAGCGAAAGCGUGGGGAGCGAACAGG
rnacentral:rRNA from 1 species